rnacentral:rRNA from 1 species
UACGUAGGGAGCAAGCGUUGUCCGGAAUCAUUGGGCGUAAAGCGCGCGUAGGCGGCCCUGUAAGUCAGUGGUGAAAUCUCCGGGCUCAACCCGGAAACUGCCAUUGAUACUGCAGGUCUAGAGUACAGUUGCCGUUGGCGGAAUAUGACAUGUAGUGGUGAAAUACUUAGAUAUGUCAUAGAACACCGAUUGCGAAAGGCAGCUAACGAAGCUGAUAACUGACGCUGAGGCUCGAAAAGUGCGGGG